rnacentral:lncRNA from 1 species
UACCAUGUACCAAAGGCCAGCCUCAAACUUUCCAUUUUUAUCUUUCAGCUUCCUCAAAACUGACAGUACGCGUCCAGCCUCAAAUUCCUUCCUGCCUCUGUGGAUGCCAUCACAGGAUGCAAUGGGCUUAAUGGAUAUCUGAUAGGCAGAAGAAGGUGUCACAUCUCCUGGAACUGGACUUACGGGUAGUUUUGCACACCGUGCUGGUGCUAGACAUUGAACCUGGGUCUCCUGGAAGAACAGUCAGUGUUUUAAC